rnacentral:rRNA from 1 species
UACAGAGGGUGCGAGCGUUGUCCGGAAUCACUGGGCGUAAAGGGCGCGUAGGUGGCCUGGUAAGUAGGGGGUGAAAUCUCGUGGCUCAACUGCGAGGCUGCCUCCUAAACUGUCAGGCUUGAGCAGAGUAGAGGCAGGUGGAAUUCCCGGUGUAGCGGUGGAAUGCGUAGAGAUCGGGAAGAACAUCGGUGGCGAAGGCGGCCUGCUGGGCUCUUGCUGACACUGAGGCGCGACAGCGUGGGGAGCAAACAGG